rnacentral:tRNA from 1 species
ACCCAACUAGCUCAGUCGGUAGAACAUGAGACUUAUAAUCUCAGGGGCAUGGGNUCGUGCCCCAUGUUGGGCG